CCUAGUAACGGCGAGUGAAGCGGGAACAGCUCAAAUUUAAAAUCUGCGGUGCUUGCAUCGUCAGAAUUGUAGUUUAGAGAAGUGUUUUCCCCGGGAUGCCUGCUGGCCUAAGUUGCUUGGAACAGCACGUCAUAGAGGGUGAGAACCCCGUCUGUGGCUUGGUGGGCACUUGGUAUGAUGCACUUUCGACGAGUCGGGUUGUUUGGGAAUGCAGCCCUAAUUGGGUGGUAAACUCCAUCUAAAGCUAAAUAUUGCCACGAGACCGAUAGCGAACAAGUACCGUGAGGGAAAGAUGAAAAGCACUUUGAAAAGAGAGUUAAAAGCACGUGAAGCCGUUGAAAGGGAAACGCGCUCGGCUAGCAAUGUGCCACGACGGUUCAGCCGUUUUGGGCGGCGAGGCGGUGGUUGUCGGAUCCGAACGGACCGCUGCUGCUGUCGUCCUCGCCCAAAACGAGGUGCACUCUUUCGUGGUACGCGUCAGCGUCGGUUCGCGGCGGGCGACAAGGCUCUGCGGAAGGUAGCUUGGAGCUUGCUUCAAGUGUUAUAGACGUGGAUGCUGGGUCUGCCGUGGACCGAGGAGAGAGAGUAUCGUUGCAGCGCAUGCCGCAAGGCUAGCUACCGCCGUCCGGCUCGCUUCACGGUCUGAGGACUGCACGCAGUGCUUAGAUUGGCGGAGUGGUCUGAUGGUGGAGUGGUAUAAAUGCGCUCAGGACGCUGGCGUCCAAAUGGCCGUGCGCGACCCGUCUUGAAACACGGACCAAGGAGUCUAACAUGUGCGCGAGUCUUUGGGUGGAGAAACCCGUGGGCGCAAUGAAAGUGAAGGCCUUUCACGAGGCUGAGGUGAGAGCUGGUGCCCUGGUGCCAGUGCAUCAUCGACCGGUCCGAUCUUAUCUAAGACGGAUCCGAGUAAGAGCGUAUUUGUUGGGACCCGAAAGAUGGUGAACUAUGCCUGAAUAGGGUGAAGCCAGAGGAAACUCUGGUGGAGGCUCGUAGCGAUUCUGACGUGCAAAUCGAUCGUCAAAAUUUUGGGUAUAGGGGCGAAAGACUAAUCGAACC
rnacentral:rRNA from 1 species